UACGUAGGGUGCGAGCGUUAAUCGGAAUUACUGGGCGUAAAGCGUGCGCAGGCGGCUUUGCAAGACAGAUGUGAAAUCCCCAGGCUUAACCUGGGAACUGCAUCCGAUACUGGAUGGCUUGAAUUCGGGAGAGGGAUGCAGAAUUCCAGGUGUAGCGGUGAAAUGCGUAGAUAUCUGGAGGAAUACCGGUGGCGAAGGCGGCAUCCUGGACCGACAUUGACGCUGAACGGCGAAAGCUAGGGGAGCAAACGGG
rnacentral:rRNA from 1 species